rnacentral:rRNA from 1 species
CAGUCGCCGCGGUAAUACGGAGGGUGCAAGCGUUAAUCGGAAUUACUGGGCGUAAAGCGUGCGUAGGUGGUGGUUUAAGUCCGUUGUGAAAGCCCUGGGCUCAACCUGGGAAUUGCAGUGGAUACUGGGUCACUAGAGUGUGGUAGAGGAUAGUGGAAUUUCCGGUGUAGCAGUGAAAUGCGUAGAGAUCGGAAGGAACAUCUGUGGCGAAGGCGACUAUCUGGGCCAACACUGACACUGAGGUACGAAAGCAUGGGGAGCAAACAGGAUUAGAUACCCCAGUAGUCCCUGUCUCUUAUAC